GAUGAACGCUAGCGGCAGGCCUAACACAUGCAAGUCGGACGGUAACAUAGAGUGCUUGCACUUUGAUGACGAGUGGCGCACGGGUGCGUAACGCGUAUAGAACCUACCCUGUACAGGGGGAUAGCCCAUGGAAACGUGGAUUAAUACCCCGUGGUGAUAUUUUAUGGCAUCGUAAGAUAUUUAAAGUCUUCGGGCGGUACGGGAUGGCUAUGCGUCUUAUUAGCUAGUAGGUAAGGUAACGGCUUACCUAGGCUACGAUAAGUAGGGGCCCUGAGAGGGGGAUCCCCCACACUGGUACUGAGACACGGACCAGACUCCUACGGAGGCAGCAGUGAGGAAUAUUGGACAAUGGGCGAAGCCUGAUCCAGCCAUGCCGCGUGCAGGAAGACGGCCCUAUGGGUUGUAAACUGCUUUUAUACAGGAAGAAUAAUCACCACGUGUGGUGAGAUGACGGUACUGUAAGAAUAAGGACCGGCUAACUCCGU
rnacentral:rRNA from 1 species